UGCUGUCAUUUUCGGGAGGAAAUUCUCGCUGUCAGCGUAGUCAAGGUUGGCGUGGUGGCAGAAAUUGGAGGGAGAAAUGUGGAUGAAGCCACACGAAGGAUGAUGGCCUUCCUUUUAGACCACCCCUAUCAAGACAGUAUAAUUUUGUUGGCCGCCAUGGAAAGCGAGAGUUUGGGGGGCUCAAACUGUUUGAGGUUGUGUAUGGAAGCUUGAAAAAAAUGCCCUUACAAUCCAAAUUAACAGAAGAGAGGCUGAAAAGGCAGUGUCAAAGUGGCUAAUCAGGGACAGGGGAGGAAACCGUACUGCGAGGACACGUGGUGGAGAGCAAGAUAGAUGAGGAAACAUUAGAGGACUUAAGGAGACGUGAUGGUGAACUGCAUGUGCCGAUGCCACUUAACCCAAAUACCCGCAGCAGCAGCACGGGACAGGACUCAGGAGAGCUUAUUUGGCAGAAGAGCUGCUGCGUCAUCUAUAGUGAGCAGGACAUGAAGUCACCUUCAAAACCACACGGUCAGCUUUGAUCUCUUCAGGGAUUGGACGGGCUGGUUUUGAUGGAGGAAUAAAGCAAACAUCUUCAUCACACUCAUCUUCAUAUAGAAGAAUGCAGGAACCUGGA